rnacentral:rRNA from 1 species
AGAGUUCGAUCCUGGCUCAGGAUGAACGCUGGCGGCGUGCCUAACACAUGCAAGUCGAACGAGAUGCGUAUUGGAAAGCUUCGGCCGGAAGAUACGUUAUCUAGUGGCGGACGGGUGAGUAACACGUGGGUAACCUGCCUUAUGGAGGGGGAUAACAGAGAGAAAUCACUGCUAAUACCGCAUAAGCACACAGUACCGCAUGGUACAGGGUGAAAAGAUUUAUCGCCAUAAGAUGGACCCGCGUCUGAUUAGCCAGUUGGCAGGGUAAAAGCCUACCAAAGCAACGAUCAGUAGCCGAUCUGAGAGGAUGACCGGCCACAUUGGGACUGAGACACGGCCCAAACUCCUACGGGAGGCAGCAGUGGGGAAUAUUGCACAAUGGGGGAAACCCUGAUGCAGCGACGCCGCGUGAGUGAAGAAGUAUUUCGGUAUGUAAAGCUCUAUCAGCAGGGAAGAAAAUGACGGUACCUGACUAAGAAGCCCCGGCUAACUACGUGCCAGCAGCCGCGGUAAUACGUAGGGGGCAAGCGUUAUCCGGAUUUACUGGGUGUAAAGGGAGCGUAGACGGAAUGGCAAGUCUGAAGUGAAAUACCCGGGCUCAACCUGGGAACUGCUUUGGAAACUGUUGUUCUAGAGUGUUGGAGAGGUAAGUGGAAUUCCUGGUGUAGCGGUGAAAUGCGUAGAUAUCAGGAAGAACACCGGAGGCGAAGGCGGCUUACUGGACAAUAACUGACGUUGAGGCUCGAAAGCGUGGGGAUCAAACAGGAUUAGAUACCCUGGUAGUCCACGCUGUAAACGAUGAAUACUAGGUGUCGGGGUACAAAGUAUCUCGGUGCCGUCGCUAACGCAAUAAGUAUUCCACCUGGGGAGUACGUUCGCAAGAAUGAAACUCAAAGGAAUUGACGGGGACCCGCACAAGCGGUGGAGCAUGUGGUUUAA